GUGCUCACUUUGGCAGCACAUAUACUAAAACUGGAACGCUACAGAGAAGAUUAGCAUGGCCCAUGUGCAAGGAUGACACGCAAAUUCGUGAAGCAUUAAAAAAAAAA
rnacentral:snRNA from 1 species